rnacentral:rRNA from 1 species
CCUACGGGAGGCAGCAGUGAGGAAUAUUGGUCAAUGGACGCAAGUCUGAACCAGCCAAGUCGCGUGAAGGAAGACGGCCCUAUGAGUUGUAAACUGCUUUUGUACGAGGGUAAACGCAGAUACGCGUAUCUGUCUGAAAGUAUCUUAUGAAUAAGGAUCGGCUAACUCCGUGCCAGCAGCCGCGGUAAUACGGAGGAUUCGAGCGUUAUCCGGAUUUAUUGGGUUUAAAGGGUGCGUAGGCGGUCGGGUAAGUCAGAGGUGAAAUCUUGAGGCUCAACCUCGGAAUUGCAUCUGAUACUGUUCGGCUAGAGAAUAGUUGCGGUAGGCGGAAUGUGUGGUGUAGCGGUGAAAUGCUUAGAGAUCAUACAGAACCCCGAUUGCGAAGGCAGCUUACCAAGCUACGUCUGACGUUGAGGCACGAAAGCGUGGGUAGCAAACAGGAUUAGAUACCCCUGUAGUC